CCUACGGGAGGCAGCAGUGGGGAAUAUUGCACAAUGGGCGAAAGCCUGAUGCAGCAACGCCGCGUGAAGGAAGACGGUUUUCGGAUUGUAAACUUCUGUUCUUAGUGAAGAAUAAUGACGGUAACUAAGGAGCAAGCCACGGCUAACUACGUGCCAGCAGCCGCGGUAAUACGUAGGUGGCAAGCGUUGUCCGGAUUUACUGGGUGUAAAGGGCGUGCAGCCGGGAAGACAAGUCAGAUGUGAAAUCCCGCGGCUCAACCGCGGAACUGCAUUUGAAACUGUUUUUCUUGAGUACCGUAGAGGUGAUCGGAAUUCCUUGUGUAGCGGUGAAAUGCGUAGAUAUAAGGAAGAACACCAGUGGCGAAGGCGGAUGACUGGACGGCAACUGACGGUGAGGCGCGAAAGCGUGGGGAGCAAACAGGAUUAGAUACCCUUGUAGUC
rnacentral:rRNA from 1 species